UAAGACAAUAGUUUAGUUUAUUGUGUAUAUAGACUAUUUUCUAAACUUUAUUACAGUUUGUAUAUAAACUGUAAAUAUACACUCUAAAAACAGUCCAUUUAAAAAAGUCACGGAUUGCGCUUUUUCGUUAAAUUAACGGAUUAAUUCGUUACCAAAAACCAGAAAAUUAACGGAGUAAAAAUUAACUAUUUACGGAUUCUUUGAAAUUUCGUUAAUUCAACGGAUUAAAUAUUCUAAUCGGUCAAAAAAAAUUUUCAGUAUAUUAUAGCUUUUUAUUUUGAAAAUGAUAAAGUUUUGAAUGCGUUUUUCUCACAUUUACAUUUACAUCGUAGAUAAAAGUUGGUUGCAACACAUGGCAUUUGUUAUCCCACUAAUUUGCUGCUUUAGAGGCACGGCAUUUAGUGUCACAUUGUAGGUUUAAAUUGGUUGUAGAAUUUAUAUUGAAACUUGCAUAUUUAUUUACUUGAGUUUAAUCUAAGUUUAUAUUUGGUGCGUUUGUAUUAUUUUAGAAUUUACUGUUUUAGACACGUGGCAUGUGGUACCCCACUGUAAGUUUGAAUUGACACUUGGUAUAAGCUGUCAUACUAAUUUGCUGUUUUAGACACGUGACUUGUGAUAUCCCACUGUAAGUUUGAAUUAGUAAAUUUAAAAAAAAUUGUGUUUUAACUUGCAUUUC